GUGACGGCGAGAAGGCGGCGACGGCCGGGCCGCGGGAUGGCCGGUCCCGUGUCGCUGUCCAGCGGAGUGACUGAUGCUCGAGGACCCCUCACCUGCUGCUUAUUCUUCACCUGCAUUGUCCGUGUGUAAUUCUUCAGAUCAUCUUGCUACAGGACACCCUCCCAGAUCAGUGAAUCUUCUCUCUUUCUGGAAAGCGAUUCUCUCAUUUCUCUACCUGGUGAACUGCUCUUCACCUUGAACAUCGGACCCAGAUGCAACCUCCUGAGGACGCUGUCCUACCUGCUUCCAGCCCUUGGCACCCCCCUUCUCUCGGCUUCUGCUGCAGUCCUCGCACCCCUGUGACUUGUGUUUCCACAGGUCAGCCUCCCGCCAUGCCCCAGGGCCUUGGCCCCCACAGUUUAGCACAGAGCCUGCCAUGCAGUCAAGGCUUACAUUAUUAAAAAUUACUAAGUGAUGUUGGCAAAAUCGGUAAAAUGCGGUGAAGUAUGCAGCCACUUACUGGCAUUUUGGUGUGAAUCCUUCCAGGCCUUUAAAAUGCACAUACGAUUGUACUUAAUUGGAACGGUUUCCUUUAUCACUUGCUGUUUUCAGGGGCUCUUCCACAGUAAACACAUCAGCUUCUUCAGAAGCGUUUUAAAUAACAGCAGUAUUUCACCUUGAGUGCCUGUCAUCAUUAUCUUGACUCAGUCAAAG